UACAGAGGGUGCAAGCGUUAAUCGGAAUUACUGGGCGUAAAGCGAGCGUAGUCGGUUAUUUAAGUCGGGUGUGAAAGCCCCGGGCUCAACCUGGGAAUUGCAUUCGAUACUGGAUAGCUAGAGUUCGGCAGAGGGAAGCGGAAUUUCCGGUGUAGCGGUGAAAUGCGUAGAUAUCGGAAGGAACAUCAGUGGCGAAAGCGGCUUCCUGGACCAGAACUGACGAUCAGGCUCGAAAGCGUGGGAGCAACAGG
rnacentral:rRNA from 1 species